GCCUCUAUAGCUCAGUGGUAGAGCGCUUGACUUGUAAUCAAGAGGUCCGUGGUUCAAUCCCGCGUGGAGGCU
rnacentral:tRNA from 3 species